GAUGAACGCUGGCGGCGUGCUUAACACAUGCAAGUCGAACGGAAAGGCUCCUGCUUGCCGGGGUGCUCGAGUGGCGAACGGGUGAGUAACACGUGGGUGAUCUGCCCUGCACUUCGGGAUAAGCCUGGGAAACUGGGUCUAAUACCGGAUAGGACACAUUUUGGAUGGUGUGGUGGAAAGUUUUUCGGUGUGGGAUGAGCUCGCGGCCUAUCGGCUUGUUGGUGGGGUAAUGGCCUACCAAGGCGUCGACGGUUAGCCGGCCUGAGAGGUGUACGGCCACAUUGGGACUGAGAUACGGCCCAGACUCCUACGGGAGGCAGCAGUGGGGAAUAUUGCACAAUGGGCGCAAGCCUGAUGCGGCGACGCCGCGUGGGGGAUGACGGCCUUCGGGUUGUAAACUCCUUUCGCUAGGGACGAAGCGCAAGUGACGGUACCUGGAGAAGAAGCACCGGCUAACUACGUG
rnacentral:rRNA from 1 species